rnacentral:tRNA from 2 species
GACCCCAUAGCUCAGCAGGAUAGAGCGGCGGUUUCCUAAACCGUAGGCCGGAAGUUCGAGUCUUCCUGGGGUCGCCA